GGUUCCAUAGUGUAGAGCAGUUAGCACGUCUGCUUUACACGCAGAAGGUCCUAGGUUCGUGCCCCAGUGGAGCCA
rnacentral:tRNA from 1 species